GUGCUGCCCUCUUCAGGAAGAUCAGGAAACAAGAACCUCAAAAAUAAAAUACAUAAUUGCAUCACUUGAUUUAUUAGAAGAGUCCAUAAAUAGCUAAUAUAUUCAUACUUCUAAGGGAAAGCAGGGGAAUUUAUUUAUUUGAGAGACAUUUUUCUAACACAAGUUGCACACGGCGAUUUCUCCUGGGUGAGUCUAGCAGCAAAGCCAUAUCCAAUUACUUAAGCUUAUGACACAAACAGAAACAGCUUGAUACACAUUAAUUAGGUUAUUUUUCCCUCAGCUCCUUUUUCAUUUGGUUCCUCUCUUAAUUAGCUAACUAUUCAGGCAAGAUAAUGUCUUUUUUUAAGAUAUGACAAUCUCAUUAAGCUACAUCUGGGAUCAGUAAUUUUUAGAAACUACUGACAUCAUACAACCUCACAAGAGUGCUCAAGAACAGUCAGAUUCCUGGAAAAUUUGGAGACACAGAAAACAAGUACGGAAUUAUGCGAUAUAGCACAGAAAAUGAAUUAGGGUAUACUGUGAAUUGAAAGAGAAUUGUUUUCCUAAUUUAAGAUUUUCAUCCCACAUAUCCUAAUUUUAUAGCUCAUCCUCUCCUUACUAUUAAUAAUAGAAAUUGUCAUCAACUACCGACCUGGAUAGAGUAGCACACUGUCAGAAGGUUUGCAGAGUGCAACUACUGUUUGGCUUGG